AUUUCCUUCCUUCUUCACAAGGCUUAUUAAAUCAUUUCAUACACUGAUAGUCUAAUAUUCUUACAGGUCUCUAGUGUCACAUCAGCUAUUAUGGAUGUGUUUAGAUUGCACCAUUGUUCUGCAGGCUAAGCCUGGAGCUUGAAAUCUGAUCACACCCCGAUUCAAUGAAGAUGUACUCAGUAUUGUCAGCAAUUUUCUUUUUGCUACUGCCUAUCCCAGUCAUUUUAAAGAUAGCUCUGGUUUGUGCAGUGCAAUCACAGUAACCACAGUAUCACAGGGCGGGAAACAGUCUUCGGCACAAGCAAUAUUGUGCCCUUUCAUUAUAGAUGGGACAUUCUGUCCAGUAACAUAUAAAGUAUAGAGACACUGCUAUUCAGUUCUUUGGAUUGUCUGCAUGGUGGGUGUUUGCCUAUUACUUUUGGCUAGUCAGGCUCUUUUUCAUGCUCUCCCUUUCCUAAAAAGGCCAUCCUCCUUGUAGAACAUGCAAUUUUUGGAGCAAUAGUCAGCUGUGCAAGACUGACUGUUGAGAUAACCCAAACAGGAUAUUUUCAUCUGUCAAACAGCUGUCAGCAAUUGUCUAAAUGGGUCUUGAACAGAAAUACAAAAAAUGUGCUGCUCUCCACCAUAUAGACACUUCUUGAAGGGGGCUGCAAUAAUAAGGAGAACGAUAGAAAAAUAUAUCCCCAUCUCCAACAACUCCAUGUGAGUGUUGCAUCACCAUUGCAUUCCUUUGGCCAUGUCAGACCAUUAUUUGGCCACAGCAGAAACUCAGCUGAUGAAGGAAAUGCAGAAGAACCUGGGUAUAAAUUCACUUUUAACAAGGGAGUUUGUGCAUUUCAGUAUUUCUUUUACAUUUGCUUGGUGCUGGUGCCCAAGGUGCAGAAGACAAAUAACAGGCAAGGUGAAGCACGGUGGGAUAAAAUGGAAAUAACUGUAGGUGGGAUCCAUGCUUUGCUAAUGCCUUCUUGGUAUGGAGCCAGAGCUGCACUGUGAUAUAGAAUUAGUGAGUAAAAAUAAAACCUAGAUGCCACAACGUCUCUAUGAUCUGUGUGCUCCUUUGCAAGAACAAGUUUUUCUGCAAUAGAAUCUGCAAUAGAAUGAUACUCUAACAUGAAAACACUACUUGUGUACCAGAAAAAAUAAAGCCAAAGAAAGAGAGAGAAAUCUAAUUAUUACACAUAUAAAACUUGCUUUCUGUAGCCAAGAUUUGGAAGAUCAAUUUAAAGUGCAAAUGGCUGUGGCUAUAGAUCUAAUUUAGUGAUAAUACAAACUACUUGAAAAAAAAGAAAAAAGAAAGAAAGA